UAAUGAUGUCUGAAUUAAAUAUCAGGCCAUAAUCCUGUCACCUUAGGUCGAUCGGUACCUCAGAUUCAGAUAUAAAUCAAGGAUUUAUCCUUACUUUUUUGUUUUGAAUUUCAGUUCCUAAACUUGUCUAGGUCACACCCAACAAACUUUCUCCUGGGCUAUUAGCUCAGGCGGUUAGAGCGCACCCCUGAUAAGGGUGGGGUCCCUGGUUCAAGUCCAGGAUGGCCCAUUCGUUGUUGGGGGUAUAGCUCAGUUGGUAGAGCGCCUGCUUUGCAAGCAGGAUGUCAGCGGUUCGAGUCCGCUUACCUCCACUGAUCAACUACCUGAUAACUCAGUUUGGAGAUUGUUAUUUGGUGAAUGUGAUUUAGAAGUUGUUCAUCUGAAUGAACCUAGCUUCAUGUCAAACCUUAGUUUUUUGUUUGAUAAGACGCUGGGCUCACUGUUAUUCGAAAGAGUAUCAGUUUGAUUCAGUGGAACCUUGACAACUGCAUAGGAAAUCUAGAAAACAAAGCAUCUCAUAGAUGUGUAGAAAGUGCAUUCAAAUUUAUGAAUAUGCUUUUUAUAUUCAAUUCUUAAGUUAGAGCAUAAAUUCGUAUGAAAAAUAAAAUCUAAUACGAAUUUAUUUUGGUCA
rnacentral:tRNA from 1 species